UUUCCGUAGGUGAACCUGCGGAAGGAUCAUUACUGAGUGAGGGCCCUCUGGGUCCAACCUCCCACCCGUGUUUAUUGUACCUUGUUGCUUCGGUGAGCCCGCCAGAGGACCCAAAACCCUGAAUAUUAGUGUCGUCUGAGUACUAUAUAAUAGUUAAAACUUUCAACAACGGAUCUCUUGGUUCUG
rnacentral:misc_RNA from 1 species